rnacentral:rRNA from 1 species
AGUGAACGCUGGCGGUAGGCCUAACACAUGCAAGUCGAACGGCAGCACAGUAAGAGCUUGCUCUUACGGGUGGCGAGUGGCGGACGGGUGAGGAAUACAUCGGAAUCUACUUUUUCGUGGGGGAUAACGUAGGGAAACUUACGCUAAUACCGCAUACGACCUACGGGUGAAAGCAGGGGAUCUUCGGACCUUGCGCGAUUGAAUGAGCCGAUGUCGGAUUAGCUAGUUGGCGGGGUAAAGGCCCACCAAGGCGACGAUCCGUAGCUGGUCUGAGAGGAUGAUCGGCCACACUGGAACUGAGACACGGUCCAGACUCCACGGGAGGCAGCAGUGGGGAAUAUUGGACAAUGGGCGCAAGCCUGAUCCAGCCAUACCGCGUGGGUGAAGAAGGCCUUCGGGUUGUAAAGCCCUUUUGUUGGGAAAGAAAAGCAGCAGGUUAAUACCCCGCUGUUCUGACGGUACCCAAAGAAUAAGCACCGGCUAACUUCGUG